GACCAGCAACCUGAGGCUGCAGCCCCGAAUCCCAUGAAACCGGUCCCCUUUGGGGGUUGAUGUGCAUCACCCCAGGAAGGACAACCAGAUGAGACAGCAGGCGAGCAGCAGUGAGCUGACCGGGAGGGAAGAAAGCCAACCUAACAGGAGGCAAAGCCCAUCUCGGUCUCUGUUUUUGCAGGCCUCGGAAGAACCGGAAGGAGAAGCGGAUGGGGAAGCAGCAGGGAAGAGGCGAGGUAGGAGAAAAGCCAGUCAGAGAAACAGGAUGUGAAGGAAAGGGACUCUGGACAGAAUAGCCUUCCUGCCUUUAGGUCUUGAUCAUGUCUUAGCCAAAUUUCAGCUUUGUGAGCCUUUGGGCGAGCUCCCUGUAACUCAGAAACGAGUCUCUGCCCUUCAUGCUGUUGCACUUCUGCAGCAGUCAGGUGGAAGGUGGGCAACCUUGUAAUCAAGCUGUGUGUCACCACCACCAUGUUUCUAAAGGCCGUGGAUCUGGUUAGUGGUCUUGCACAGCACAGCCACCCUGUAAUCGGGGUCCAGGCCAGCUGUCAGACCUGGCUGCCAGUGGCGCAGCAACCCAUAAGUGGGGUAUGUGCUGCUUUCUAACAUGAGAAAAAAUAUGUGUAGCGCUGGACGUCCUGUAAUUGGGAGUCAAAGUCCACGGCUAUUCCCAGCCAGUCGGAGAGGUGCCCCUGUAAGGAGGGUGGGUGUAGCCUCCUUCCGCUGGUAGUACAGAGCCGGAGCAGUCUGCAGCGUUGUGCUGCAGAACGGCCUUGCAGACGAGCCGAGGCUCGUGGGGUGACAGCCAACUCUUUAGAACCAGAAGCUUGACCUUCCCGUGGUCUGGGUUGAAGCCUGUGGCCUCCUCUCCAAUCCCUGUGUCCAGGCAUCUGUCCUUUUUCAUGCAUCUGUGUCUGACACACUGCAUCUGGACCCCUGGGCUGCCCUGUAACAAGGAUGCGAGUCCCAUGUCUCUUGGCGGAGGGCUAGAUUGUGCAGAGCUGUGGACCACUCUGUAAUUAGAGUGCAGGUCUCUGUGCAUUUGAGGACAGCUCUGUGCUUUCCCAGGCCUGACGGCCCUCCCUGUAAGCAGGGCUCGGGGCCUUUACCUUUUGCCCCCACAUGGGCAGUGUGGCUACUCAGAUGGACGGCGCCAUGUAAGAAGGGUGCGAGUCCUGUGCGUCCUGUUACACAGCUAGGUUCUGCAGAGCUGCGGACCGCCCUGUAAGCAGGGUUCAGGUCUCUAUGUGCCUUUGGGGACAGCCCUGUCCCUUGUCUGGCCUGACGGCCCUCCCUGUAAGCAGGGCUUUGGGCCUUUCCCUUUUGCUCCCGGGCGGUGUGGCUACCCAGACGGACCGUGCCCUGUAACGAGGGUGCAAGUCCCAUGUCUCUUAGUGGAGGGCUAGAUUCUGCAGAGCUGUGGACCAUCCUGUAAGCAGGGUGCAGGUCUCAAUGUGCCUUUGGGGACAGCUCUGGCCUGGCGGCCCUCCCUGUAAGCAGGGCUCUGGGCCUCUCCCUUUUGCCCCUGGGCAAUGUGGCUAGCCAGACAGACCGUGCCCUGUAACGAGGGUGUGAGUCCAA